rnacentral:rRNA from 1 species
AGCGAACGCUGGCGGCAGGCUUAACACAUGCAAGUCGAGCGGGCACUUUCGGGUGUCAGCGGCGGACGGGUGAGUAACGCGUGGGAACGUGCCCUCUGGUUCGGAAUAACUCAGGGAAACUUGAGCUAAUACCGGAUACGCCCUUUUGGGGAAAGGCUUGCUGCCGGAGGAUCGGCCCGCGUCUGAUUAGCUAGUUGGUGAGGUAACGGCUCACCAAGGCGACGAUCAGUAGCUGGUCUGAGAGGAUGAUCAGCCACACUGGGACUGAGACACGGCCCAGAUCCCGCCGGGGGGAGGAGGGGGGAAUUAUUGAACAAGGGGCGCAAGCUUAAUCCCGCCAUGCCGCGGGAGUAUUCAGGCCCUUGGGGUUGAAAGCUUUUUUUUUCCGGGACGAUAAGGACGGUACCGGGGAAAUAGGCCCCGGCUAACUCCGUG